ACAACCACACUAAAAACACAUUUUCCUCAAAUCAGGUAGGACUACCCGCUGAACUUAAGCAUAUCAAUAAGCGGAGGAAAAGAAACCAACAGGGAUUGCCUCAGUAACGGCGAGUGAAGCGGCAAAAGCUCAAAUUUGGAAUCUCAGUCUUUCAGGCUGCGAGUUGUAAUUUGAAGACGUAUUUUGAAGUAAGCACAUGUCGAAGUUCCUUGGAACAGGACGUCACAGAGGGUGAGAAUCCCGUGCGAUGUGUUCACUGCUUCAUGUAAAAUGCAGUCGAAGAGUCGAGUUGUUUGGGAAUGCAGCUCUAAGUGGGUGGUAAAUUCCAUCUAAAGCUAAAUAUUGGCGAGAGACCGAUAGCGAACAAGUACAGUGAUGGAAAGAUGAAAAGAACUUUGAAAAGAGAGUGAAAAAGUACGUGAAAUUGUUGAAAGGGAAGGGCUUGAGAUCAGACUCGGGCAACCGGGCCAGCAUGGGGUGGGGGAGUAGGAUAACCCUGCAGGAAAGUGGCUUCGCUUCGGUGGAGUGUUAUAGCCUGUAGCUAUACUGCUACCCUCGCCCGAGGACUGCGGAAACAAGGAUGCUGGCAUAAUGAUCUUAAGCCGCCCGUCUUGAAACACGGACCAAGGAGUCUAACGUCUAUGCGAGUGUAUGGG
rnacentral:rRNA from 1 species